AUUUUUUUCCAUUUCCAUUUCUACACAAGACUCCAUUACCUUACAACCAACCAUGGACAGACCUUGUCCGAGCUAUUUCUGUGCAAGAAUUAUAUCUCUCCACGUUUGAGUUAGCCCGCCUCAACGUCUCUUUCCAGUUCCAUGCUUCAAGACGCGCUAUAAUCUUCAAAGACCAUAAGUGGUCGAACCAUUUUCGUGUAAUGGCUAAGUCAAAUCACGUGAAGAUCUGUUCAAAACACUUUCAAUGUUCGGAUUUAAACAGUUCCGUUUGACUCGAUUUCAAACAUUAGAUAAUUCAAAUCCCGCCCUAAACUUUGAAUCCUAACAAACCCUAAUUUGUAUCUAUAAAUACUAGCAUUUGGAUUCCAUUUUGGACCAAGUUUUUGAACCGCCCCCUUUACCCCUGGAAGGUUUUUUUUAUUAGCUGCCGCCCACACCCUUAGAACGUUACUGCUCCUCUCUCUUAUCAAACUUAAUUGUCUAGCUUUAUUUGUCUCUGUUAAGUUCCAGAUAUCACAAAGGCUUCGCAUUUAAUUCAUUAUAUAAGUUCUGACACUUUUCAGGAGUAAGGAGUACAUCUAAGACCCCUGCCCUGCACCCGCAAAAGAUACACUUUGAAGCAAAUGGAGUCUUAAUUCGGGACUCUCUCAAAAUGUAGUCUUAGAACGAGACUCAGCGUUAUUGCUAUACUCGUGCAUGGAGUCGACACAUCUCAUAUUCUUUGACCACAUCAGUCAGCGAAAACAAGCGAAAUCGCUUGAGGCCGCCUAUAACAUCUUUAUUCUUUUCCUUUUUCCCCUUUCCUUCACAUUCUAUUUGUUUCGUCUUGCUUUUAUGAUUGCUAAUUUACUUGUAUUUGGAUAUAUUGAUUUAUAGAUAAUAGUUUUAUCAUUUAGGAUUACCCUGUAAACAUUAAGUACUUAUUUUAUCAUGUAGAAUGCAAAACCGAUCUUCAUAAAGAUUUUAUUAUUAAAAUAAGAAAUGGUUUUAUUGGGAUACUUAUUAACUCGGCCUUUUUUUAUAAUUUUGAAGCAGCUGUUUUUUGCUUAAUAGAUAAAGUGCACAAUUUGAACUUGUGUAUACCUCAAAUCUUAUUUUACUCUUUUGCUGAAAAAUGUAGCCUGGGAGCAAGUGGAUUAAAAUUUCCGUUUUCAGUGUUUGGGAUAUUUUUAAAAGGAGGAGAACUGAUUUGGAGAAUUUGCCAUGUUAUAAGCCAAUAAUUUGUUUUCAAAAUCAGAUUGACUCCAUAACAUUUUUAAAUUGCUCAAAUAAUUGUUUUAGAAACCAUGAAUGCUCAAAUCAUUUUGCAUCUUUUUGACCAUCUGAAAGUCUUUGGACUUGUAAAGGUUUUUUCACGUUUUGAUCUUCCGUUGAACUUCGAAUUUUGCUAUUGUUAUUCAUAUAAUAAAUAUUAUAACUUGUUUUCCUCAAAAGAUAUUUCCUUAACAUUUUUACACUAGAAUAAUUAACCUAAGUUUGGCCGGUUAACCGUAGUUAGUUGAUCUUAAAGGAUGCUUAACCCCUUCCUUUUAGGAUAACUAAGAACCCUUAUCUAGAAUCACAUUAGUUAAGUAGAUUAUUAAUCGGAGUUAAUUUUUAGCAUUUACUUAGUUAAAAUAGAUGUCCUUAUUCUCCUUUAAAAUAAUUAGGUGGCAACUCCUUUAGUUAAAUAAUUUAGGAAUCACCAAUAUGUUGUACUCCGCUUUGACCCGGUUAAAAUGGGAUAUAACACUUUGUUUACCUAAACAACUGAUUGUGGAAUGAUCAUCAUCUUAGUCUAUGUAGAUGACCUACUGAUUACAGGUAGUAGUACAUCUUUAAUCCAAGAGGCAAACGAUACACUGAAUCAUAACUUCAAGAUGAAGGAUCUAGGUACUUUGAGAUAUUUUUUGGGCAUUGAAUUUGCUAGAUCAACAAAGGGAAUGAACCAAAGAAAGUAUGCUUUGUAGUUAAUAUCUGAAUGUGGUUUAGGGGGAGCAAGGCCAGCAUCCACUCCAUUAGAACAAAAUCAGAAGCUCACCAGUGCUGAGUAUGACAGACUUACUGAGACACAUGGUGAUGAAGUGCUAGGGGACAAGACUGGAUAUUAGAGAUUAGUUGGUAAGCUUUUGUAUCUGGCAGUUACAAGACCAGACAUUUCAUUUACAGUAUAAUUUUUGUGUCAAUUCAUGCAUGAACCAAAAGAAUCAUAUUGGGAAGCAGCCCUCCAUGUGGUUAGAUACAUCAGGGGACAACCAGGUCUUGGACUUCUCAUGAGCAGUAGAAACUCAAAGAGUGUUGUAGCUCAUUGUGAUGCAAACUGGACAUCAUGCUCUAGGUGACUCAUUAAUUUCAUGGAAGUAAAAAAAACAGUCCGCAGUAUCUAAAAGUACAAUAGAGGUAGAAUAUAAGAGUAUGGCAGGAAUUAAGGGUACAUAUUGAUCAGCCUAUGCAUCUUUUCUAUGACAACAGGGCAGCACUACAAAUAGCAUCCAAUCCAACGUACCAUGAGAGAACAAAGCACAUUGAGAUUGAUUGCAACUUUAUCAGAGAAAAAAAAUCCAACAAGGGCUUAUUGGAACAAGUCAUGUCAACACUAGAGAACAAUCAGCAGGCAUACUACCAAAGUGUCUUGGAAGACAACAACAUGACUACCUGGAGUUGCAGGGGUGGCAGCCCCUACGAUGGAGGAAGCAAGGGCCCGAAGGGUGAAACAUGAAUAUGAUAGCUCAACGAGAUAAAAGGAGGGGAUGGUAGUAAAAGGUUUCCAACAGAAAGGAAGGUAUCGAUUUCACUGAGAUUUUCUCCCUUGUGGUUAAACUGCAUACUAAUCGAGUUAUGUUAAACAUUGUUGUUGCAUAAGAUUUACAGUUAGAGCAGUUACAUGUAAAGACAGUCUUUCUCCGAUCCAUAGAGAUCUAGAAGAAUAUCUAUAGAUGAAGCAACAUGAAUAUGAAGAUAAUCAGAACUCCAUGUAUGAGUUCUAUGUAGAAACUAGAAAUGAGAGAAGAAGGUGAUCGAGAAGAAGUAGAACAUAUUAGUGAUGAAGAAAAGAAUUAGAUGACCUUCAUUGAGUCUGAACCUUUCCUUGUUGGAUUUUCUCCCUAAUGAAGUGACAGUCAAUCUCUAUGUGUUUUGUCCUCAUGGUACACUGGAUUGGAAGCAAUUUGAAUUGCUGAUUUACUGUUACUAUAGAUAGUAACAGGAAGUUUAAUCUCAACCUCUAAUUCAGUCAACAAUUCUAGCAGCUAUGUAAGUUUUGAUAAUGCAGAAGCCAUGCUCCUGUAUUCUGCUUCUGCAGAGCUUCUAGAGAUAGUUGUCUGCUUUUUUGACUUCCAUUAAACGAGUGAUUCACCUAGCUUGAUUAGAAACCCUGAGACUGAUCUUCUAGUGCGAGUGCAGCCUGCCCAAUCAACAUCACAGUAUACCCUCAUAGUUUGAAUAGGUUUGCUUAACAUAAGAAUCCCUUGGCCAGGCUGAGCCUUGAUAUAUCUAACAAUCCUUAGUGCAGCUUCCAUGUGAGAUUUCUUAGGUUGUUGUAAAUAUUGACUUAAUGUCUGAACUGCAAAUUCAAUAUCUAGUCUAGUAACAGUUAAAUAUAGUAACUUCCCUAUGUGCCUUUGAUGUGAACAUAUAUCUAUCAGCAAUGGAUCUUCAGUGCUCUUGAUCUUUCCAUGAUCUCCAUGCUCCUUCACAUAAUCAUCAUACUCUUUUGUUGUUAACUUCAUAUUUGUAUCAAUUAGAGUACAAGCUGGUUUAGAAGCUGCUAUUCCAAGUUCUGAGAUCAAUUCUAAAAAGUACUUCUUUGAUGCAUUAAGAUUCCUUCUUUGGACCUGGCAAACGCUAUGCCAAGAAAAUACUUUCAACUCUCCUAGAUCUUUCAUCAUGAACACCUGUUGUAAGGCAGCUUUUCUUCUUGAAUCUGAGCUAAACUAUCACUAGUUACUAGAAUAUCAUCAACAUAGACCAAUAUAAUGAUAGUUCCUUAUUUCUUUUUCUUCACAAAGAGUGAAUGGUCAUUUUGAUUUUGCACAAACUAAAACUUCACUAAAGCCUGUUGACACCCAAUUUUGUUCCUUCCUCCCCAAAAUACUUAUUUAUGCUUCUAAUAUUUUUGGCAAUUUAAGAAAUAAUUAUUUAUAUUUCACCAUAAUUAUUAGCUUUUACCGGCGUUUCAUUAUUCCAUUGCAGUCACUAGCUGUCAUUAUUUUUAUAACUACUACCACUAUUAUCCUUACCCUUAUUGUUACUAUUAUUAUUAUUAUUAUUAUUAUUAUUUCGUUAUUAUUAUUAUUAUUAUUACCAGUAUUAUUACAAUUCGCAUUAUAAUCAUUUCAACAUUUUUUACCAUUCUAUGCACACGCAUCGCAUUUAUUUUCGCGCAAUUAAAUAAUAGCAUUUAUUUACUGUUGAACUUUUAAAAUAUUAUCGCACGGUUAUUACGACGUCUUAUAAUUUUAUCUGAGCACUAAUAAUUACAUAUUUUAUAUUAGGUGAUAUUUUAGCACACAUUAGUGUAUAGUUAAUUAAAAUGGGUCUUUUAUUUAAAUUUAGAAGCCCAAAUUAGUUCUUUCAUCAGCCAAAUUAUUAGUCCAAAUCCAAACCCAAUUAACCACCAAUAUUUUUCGUAUUAGCCCAAAAUGACCCAGCCUACCUUUGUAAUUCGCUCAACCCACUAUUCAUCUACCCGACCCAGCCCCCUAUUCAUCUACCCGACCAGCCCACAUUUUACUCACCAACCCAGUUCAUUAAUCUCUUGACCCGGUGACCCGACCCGUGUCAUUUAACAAAAACGAACAACUAGGUCUUCAUCGUUUUCAUCUGCCGCACUUCCUCUUCUCUCUCUCUCUCUCUCUCUCUCUCUUCACCCUCUCUCUCCCUUUCCGAUGAAAACAGCAAAAUCGCAGACCUAUUUCGUCUUCCCCAGACCGUGCAUGGUUGAUUUGGGAAAGGAAAUUAAUGCCCUGUACUCCCUCAUCAGUGUUUUCAACCGUUGACGAGUUUAGAUUUUGUUUGCUUCCUUUCUCCUCUGCUUCGAUCUGAAACCAUUUUAAUGGAUUUCGUCGAUUAGUGAGGUAAAAAAUUGUUUCUUUAUCAGCUGCUUUUUCAUUUUCGAGUACGAAAAUUUUAAUUGUUUUUGUCUACUUCUCCCUUGGUUUUGAUCGAUGACAGAAAGACUAUAACGUUGUAUUUGAACAAAAUUGACUUAGAAUCCCGCCCAAAUUUUAAACCCUAGAAAACUCUGAUAUCCUCCUAUAAAUAAUGGCUUGGGAGGUCAGUUAAGGGAGAGUUCUUUAAUCGCGGAAAUUCCCCUAAAAUUAGAGUUCUUUUUAGCCGCCGUGAAUACCCUAAAGAAAAGUCUUUUCAGCCGCACAAAACUUCUUAAAAUUAUAGUUCUUGAAUCGCCAAAUUUCCUCGAAAAAUACAAGUCUUUAACUGUUCGAGUUCCCCUUUUAAAAUAUUAGCUCUUAAUUUUCUUGAUAUCGUCUCAAAUACUAAAUCCUUUUCUGUUUUGCCUUUGGUAUUUGUUCGGGUCUGAGUGUGUACAAACUCGGGAUUGGUGGUGUUUCGAGGUAGAUUGGAAACCCCGCACCCACUUCGCUGCACCCGAAGAAGGUAAACUUUCCUCCUUUUUGCAUAAUGCCUUUAAGUUAGUGUUUAUGUUCGUAUGUUUGAUAUUUGGUUGUGUUUGUUUAGAUUAGUCUACAAUUAGUCUUAAUAAGUCUGCUUUAGGUCUAAUUAUUGUUGUUAAGUUGUUGGUUGUUGAUUAUUGUAUGGAUUAAUUGGGUUAUUUGAUGUUAAGGUUAGUCCAUAUGAGUAUGCCUAAUUAGUUUUUUUUGGGCAAAUAUAGUUAAGUUUGGAACCCCUAGAAAUUGCUAAAUGCUAACAAUAUUUGUCCAAUCAUAACUAGUUUAGUCAUCUGCUAUUUGUUUUAAGUAGUUGGUCAAUCUGUUAGUUUUUCAUGAAAUCAAUUAGUUAAUUGUUGGUGUGUGCGCAGACUUGUUUAGUUUGAAUAUUGCUUGACCAUGUGUUUAUAGAUGCUGUCUAGUACCUUAUUUGAAUGAUGUUCAUGUUUAGUUUAUCUUAAGCAUGUAUUCUCAUGUAACUCAGUCAUACUUAAACCACUAAUUUUCUCACAUACCUACUGGUUUUGAGCAUAAGUUUGCCUGUAUAUUUAGCUGUUGUCACUUGUUGUACUAUAUGUUUAUUAACAUGAUCAUAUGGUUCAUCAUUUGUUGGUUCAUUAGUAUGUUUAGUCUGAUCAAUGAUUCAAGUAUGAGUUAGUGGUUACUAGGCUUAUGAAACUGAAAUGAAAGAAAGUCUGCACUAAUUCUUCAUGUAGGAAUUCUGUCUACUUUGUCCCUUAUGUUCCUGUCUAAACUAUUAAUAAGGUAAACAUCUAGCUUAAAUAUUCUUUGCUCUGAAACCAGUAGUUCUAGUACCUUUUUUUAUUAAUAUCAGAAACUUUAUUUUGAGUCAAGUAGAAUUCUGGGAACCAUCUCACAUACGGAUUAUAGUCAGCCCUUCAUAAGAUUUAAGUAAUAGUAAUGAUAUUGCUGCUUUCCUCUGCUCUUUUUCUGUCAUUUUCCUGCCUCUGUUCAGUGAUCUUUUCGCCUUUAAUUAGCUCAGCUUGCUCCUCUAAUCUGUUAUGUGCUCUGUUAAAACCCCUUUAAGUAAAAUUCUCGGGAAGCAUGUAUUUUCAAAUCAUGAAAUAAUCCUGUUUUAACUAUUGGUGUUUCUUUGACUUUAGUUGUAUGUGUUCUGAAGACUGAAUCUAAUGUUCAAGUGAUAGUUUAAGCUGUCUAAAACCAGUUAGUUGUCGUAGUAGAGUCUCGCUCAACUUUCAUUGUGAGACUCUUCCCUUCCUCAAUAGACUUGAGAGAAUCACCUCUAUUUGUCUGAAGCACAGGUCACGUUUUGUCUUAAAAAAGGAAGGGGGGGGGGGGGGAUAAAAUCCAUUUUUCAUAUUCCAACGUGCUUAAAAGAGUUAAACUCAGUUUGUUCUUCUCUUAUACUUGAGUGUAUAGUUAGGCAGUUUGUUUCAGUUAUAACAGCAAGUUGAUAUUUGAUUUGGUUCUCUUAAAAAUCCCUUAAACUUGCUACGCCACUGUUUGAACCAUGUCAAAGUUUUCACUAGAUGAGGCCGUAUGAUAUCUUUAUAUUAAGACAUAAAAUGUGAUACAUCGUAUUCUUUUAAGUGUAAGCUAAGUACCAGUUACCAACUCAACCCUUCCCCUAAAGCAGUGGGUUUAAAUUGUUUCUUUCACUAGUGUAAAGUUUCUAAUUUGAAUGCUAUUACUUUACUUUGUUUCUUUGCUGGGCUGCAAAGGCUCAAUAACGCAUAUGUGCGCACCACUGUUAUCUUUUAUGAAUUAUAUGCAUGUAUACACGAAGUAUACUUAAUGUGUAUAUACAUCACUUGUGUGUUGAGUUUGCUCUAUUAAUUUGGCAUGUCAAGGUCCUGCUUUUAUUUAUUAUUUACGUGAUGUUUUAUUUUGUUUCGGCUGUUGCUUUUCUUUUUUUUUCAUUUGAAGUAUAGGUUUUUGAAGUAUACUAAUCCUUUUUUUUAUGCAUGACCCUCGUGUACGAGUCCAAGGGACUCUCCUUCUCCCGUAUUCGGUGUUGGGCUAAAAGCCCAACGCAAUCUCUCUCCCGUGUCAACCCAUCCGCAGCAAAAUUAAAAAAAAAAGAUUUCUGGGCUAAGCCCAACAGCAGCAGCCAAUCCGCAGCAAUAUAUAAAGGAAAUUUACUGGGCCAAAGCCCAAUAGCAAACAGAUUGCAGCAGUCCUAAAAAAUGGGCUGAGCCCAUUUAAUUUUAUUUACGCCUCUACUUUGUUUUUGCGUAUUUAAUUUGUAUUAUUCGACUAACCCGUUACUUUGUUUUGUUUUCUUAACUUAGAUGAAUUAUAGGGAAUUAGUGUGGAUAGUUUUAGUAGUAAUGGGUAGUUAAUUUAAGGGAAACUAAUAGUUAAUUCUAUAAGAUUUCAUUCUCUCUUUCUUUUUGUUAAAUUAUUCAUAGUAUCUACAAUAUUUAUUUUCAUUAGAAUAAUUGAUUUUCAAAAUAGCAUGACUACAUAAUUUGAGCUAGAGGAAUCAUGAUUUAUUCUUACUAUCUUAGAAAAUUAAAAACGUCACUAAUAUGCAAAUAUGAACUCAAGUAUGUUUUAUAAACAUUGUUUUCAAGAUUUAUCCAAUUAUACAUAUUUUUAGUCGAAUAUAAGUUAAUAAAAAAAGAAAGAAAACUCACUUCCUUUUGCAUCUUAUUUAUAAAAAUAAGUCUAGAUUUUUCUACAUCACCAUAUUCAUAUAAGAUAAUUUUAUUCAAAGUUCAAAUGUGCUAAAAGCUAUUACUUAUAUGCAAACUAUUAUAUUUUCUACAAGUCUCAUUUUAAAUCGUGUUAUCAUAUUUUCAUUUAAGGUCUUGGCAACAUUUAUAAGUCUUAUUUUAAAUAGCAUUUAAAGUCUUCUUUUAUACAAAUCAUUAUAUUCUUCUACAAAAUUCUAUCUUAAAUAGCAUUAUUGUAUUUCUAUUUAAAGUCUUAACAACAUUUAUAAGUAUUAUUUUGUAACGACCCAUUUGGUCGUUUAGCACUUUUGGUCUCAUUUUCGUUAAAAUACACUUUCGUAUUUUUAAAAGGUAUUUUUGACUUGCGGAGUGGGUGCACGGCGAUUUAAUUGAUGGGUAAUUCUUGAAAUAUAUUUAUUUAAUGUAUGUGAAUAGCUACUUACAGGAAUAUGAGUUUCACAAGGUCUAAGUUGGUAAAUAAAGUAAUUGACGGAAUGAACUUUAUACAAAUAGUUAAGUGCAUCGGUAAAUUUAUAGAAAUUAUAGGGAUAAGUUAUUGGGCUUAACCCACUUCUCAUGACCCAUAUAUCUUAGUGACAUAGGGUAUCAAAUAAUUUAUUAAUUCUGGCAUGAAAAAAAAAAGGGAGAGGAACACUUUUGACACAACAAAGUGACGGCAAUAACUGAAGGGUCAGUUUCUUCGUGACUAAGACCUUGCGAAAACAACAGGUAAUCUCUUUUACAUUUGGUCCUUUCACUUAAAUAAAGGCUUAAUGAUUAUUCACAAUCGAUGAACAUGAUGAGUACUACUAUUUGAGUUGUGAGAUAGAGAAAUGGCUACAAUUGAAUUGACUGUACGGGAGUGAUUUGGCAAAUGAAAGGGGUAAUAAUGGGGCUAUCAUUAGGUAAUCAUUCGAACAUUAUUAAUGUUGUGUGGAAGGGAUAGGAUUUUAGGGGUAGCUACAUGCUUUUUUUUUCCAUUACGUACUUGAAUGGUGGGAACUACUUUAUUUAUGAUGAUAUAAUGUUUACAAAAUUAUGUGUGGGCUAAUGAUAAUCUAAUGAUGACUAAUCAUUGGGCAAUGAUGAUAAGACUAAUGGUUAAAUUGUUUCUGCAAAUUUGCUACGUAAUUGAAGUUACAGUUUUGUAACUUAGGCUACAGUUAUUGGAAUUUCCUUUCCACGUAUUAUCAUGAUUGCACUUCAAUUCAAAUACAUAGGGUAUAUAUUUUGGUAUUGAAUUAUAUGAAUACCUUCGAAUUCAUGGUAUUUGAAUUGUGGAAAGUUAGAUUUUUGUCCGAAGUUAAGCUAUUAGAGUAAUUAAAGGUUUCGAGUCCUAGUCCUAAGAAAGGAGAAUUAACGAUUUGAGAGUUCAUUUAUGGAUGAAAUUGACCAAUUUUAAAAAUAUAUGAUCCUUAGAUAAUGGGUGAAAUUAUUUUUCAAUAAAAUUUCAAUCUUGCCCUUGUGGGCCCAAGGCCACUUUUAGGGGUGCAUUUUUGGGUUUCGAAUAUAAAUAUAGCAAUAUGGGUGUCCUUAGAUUCAUAUUCUAACGUAGAUUGCAUAUUUUAUAGAUUUUGAUCGUUCAGAAGCUCUACGCAAAGGGAAGACAUUAGUUUGAUUGUUCGUGGCACCUGUUCGGCAUUGAGAGUACGAUCCAGGUUCCAGUUCUACACCCCGUGGCUGAUACGCGAGGGUGACAUAUUUCAGUCAUUCAAGGUGAUACACCAAUUACAGAAGAUGGCAUCCUAUUGAUUAUAUACACAACAGUUUGAACAGAGUAACCCCAGAAUUUUAAUGAAAUAUUAGCCUGUAAUCUCAAAGCUCUUGUAAUUUCCAAAAUGUGUCUACAUUUCCUCUUAGCAACACCAUUCUGCUGAGGGGAAUAUGCACAUGUUCUUUGGUGAAUAAUAGCGGUGUUUUUUAACAUUGUGCUGCAGAUUUCAUUUACAAAUUCUGCACCAUUAUCAGUUCUGCAUACUUUCACAGUUUUGUUAUACUGUGUUUAUACAAAAUCUAAGAAAUGUGGUAAAAUGACACAUACAACAGAUUUCAGUUUCAACAAAUAAAUACAAGUCAUUCUAUUAUAAUAAUCAACUAUGGUUAGAAAACAUUUGAAAUCAUCAAUAGUAGGUAUUUCAUAAGGACCCCAAACAUCAAUGUGAACAAUGUCAAAACAUUCAUUACUCUUAAUACUACUUGCAGGAAAAGGAAGUCUUGUCUGUUUGUCACAUGGACAUACAAUGCGUUUAUUGAUUAUUUCAGAGAUGCUAUCCUUUGAACUAGCUAAUAUUUUGUGUAAGACAGAUAUGGACACAUGUCCAAAUCUCAUAUGCCAUAGAUUGAUUAAAUUCUUGACUGGUUUUAGCUGCUAGAUUUACACCAUAAGUAGUAUGAUCUCCAGAUGAUUGAUUAAGUAGAUAAAGCCCAUCCUCGUGUCUACCAAUCUCUUUCACCUCCCACUGGAGAGAUCCUGAAAUAUACAGAAAUCAGGAUAAAACAAGGUUGCACACCUUAACUCUCUCUUGUAGCCUUAGAAAUAGACAUUAAGUUAUACUUAAAUUGUGGCAAUACAAACACAUUUUCUAAGGUACUUCUAGAUGAUAUAGAGAUUGAACCAGUGUGUGUAACCAUAUAGAUGUCACUAUUUGGUAAAUAUACAGGUUUUGGAUUCUUAUUCUUAGUGACAAUUGACUUAUCUGGCAGCUCUAUACUGGACACCAUAUGAUUAGUGGCACCAGUGUCAAUAAUCCAUUGCACUACUCUAGCUAAAAUAAGCAUUAUUUAUACCUGUAUGCUUACUAGUUAUGUUACCUACGUGAUUUUCAGAUCCUGUUGUUGACACCUAAUUUUGGCUCGACAUGCUUAAAAUUAACGUUUUGGGGGGCUCUGAUUCGUUAAAGAGCGCGAAAUACAUUUUUACACAUUUUUACAUUUUCGACAAUUUAUUGAUGAUUAUCCUUAUUUUAGGAAUUUUAUCAAUUUAUUGUAUUUUCCAAGAAUCAUUAUUUUGCACAUGUACAGAGUAAUACUACCAUUUUUCUGCAAUUAAUAAUUGUUUCUUAAUUUUAUAGCAGUACAUUUUUAUAUUUUAUAAUUACGUUAUUAUUUAUAUUUUAUACUUACAUUAUUAUUUAUAUUUUAUACUUACAUUAUUAUUUAUACAUGAAUUAAUUAACUAUAUUUUAGUACAGUCUGUCAGUACAGAGAAAAUCGGAGCAAUUAAUUUUUAAACGCAGAACAAAAAUUCGAUCAAGUCAAGGUCUCGUCACCUUUUUAAAAGUUGACAUUUGAGGUGACGGGUUGGGUUCUUGAUCCAUUGAUUAAUAAAUUUUUAGACAUUGGUUAAAAGAGUGAAAUCUUCAUUGGACAAUAACCCAAGGAUUGAAAUAAGCAUUGAGGGGACAAAGGGGUGCAUUCUUUUAUUUUUUGGACAAAAGAGGGGUUAAUUUUUUUUUUCAUCCUUUGUCUUCAUCAACUACAUAUAUUUACACACACACACACAACAUAAACAUUUCAGAUCUUGCUCUAAACAUUUUUCCCCCUCACUUCUCUCUCUACACGCCGCCGCCACCACGCCGGAGCUCGGAGCUCCGGCGACGCACCAUGACCCCCCAACAACACCACGCAACCCUCUACUCCCUCCACCACACCUCUCUCCACUGCCAAGCCAACCCCGACGGACUCCCACCGUCGGAGCUCCGGCAGAAACCACAACCACAACCACACCACCACGCCACCCAUCCCUCACUUUUCCCUUUCGUUCUCCUCCCAUCACCACCCCUACUCCAAGCAGACCAUGCCAGAGCAGCCAACAAACAGCCGACCAAACACCACCGCGCCACCACCAACGCGAAACCCCAGCCCUUUUCCUCUUUUCCCCGCUGCUCUCUCUUAUCUCCCUUCGUUUUGACGCCACCAGCGAACAACCCACGCAUAACCACUGCUAGCCUUCCCUUUCCCUUCUCUCUUUAUUUUUUUUUCUCUCGCCCGGAGCUUCGCCGGAGAUUGUUCUCCGACGACCAUGGCUGCCCCGUUUUUUUACUACAUUUUCCAUCACUGCUGUUAUUAUAUUAAAUCACUGCUAGGUUUAUUAUUGUCUUUAAUAAUUUUGUGUUGCCUUAACUGUUUCGGAAAAUCAUUGGCGCUGUCUUUGCAUUUGUCGGACGUAUUCUGCGAGUUCAUUUUUUUAGUUAUUGCUGCUGUUGUAAUAUAGCUAUGGAUAAUUUGCUAUUGGUUUUGUACUACAUUCAUCCGUGUUAUGUUGCAUUCAGACUGAUUUUACAUUUUUCUUUUACUAAAUAAAUGUUGGCUUUGUGCCCGAAAAAAAAAUACUUUUGGCGGUCAAUGGUACUGUUAACUUUUUAUCGCAUUUAGUUAAAUUCAUUUGGGCGAAUACUAAACCCAAGUGGCCGAUGAAGAAAUUUCCGUCGAUUUCCAAGGCCUCCCAUGUACAAAAGACGGGUUUUUUAUUUUAAGUAUAUUCAUUAUUUCUUUAAUUCAUUCGAUAGUUAUUUAUUCUCUUACUAACACUUUUACUAAGUGUUUAUACAGGUACCCGGAGAUACAUCCCGGAGACGACACUCGGAAGGAACCCGAAGAUUUCAUCGAAUCACUGUUUGUAUUUACUUUCCGCAUUUUUUUUAUAACUGUACAAAACAUAAACUCAUAGUAUAGUGGAAACAUUAUUUUUGAAAUGACGGGUUGAUAUAUUUAUUUACUUGUCCCCUUGUUUGUUAAACUUAAAAUAGUCAUCGCUUUAGGCAAGACUUAGGCCGUCAAUACUUUCAUAACUAGAUUAAAUUGACUUGGUAUAAAUAUUUUGUUAAAUAAAUUCACACUUUUGACGAUUAGGAAAAAAUACCAGUCCAUCCUUUAUUUUAUAUUCUUUAUACACUCUUAAUACAACUUACAUAUUAUAUUGUUUCGUGUAUAUUAAUACAUAUCUUAAUUAAGUUAAAUUCACAUUUUGACACUAGGCAAAGAUUAAGUCUUCUAUUCACAAAUCUUUUAUUCUUUAGAGGCAUUACACAUUUUCACUCAUUUUUUAUCCACAAUCCCUUAUACUUAUUUUUUACCAAUACUUUUUACAAUUAUUUUGCUCCUUAUUCUCUUGAUAGGAUAUUCAUUAAACAAACACUCUUUUUAACUAAACGGUAGAAACAAGUCAAAUAAAUUUUGCUUUUCUGGAUAAUUUUGCUAUAUAAACUCUUUACACCAAUGAAUAUUCGUAGAUUAUUUUUACAUUCUUUAUGGACUAAUAGACCUAGUUAUACAAUUCUUUAGACAUUUUAUGUUCGAUAUACACUCUUUUAUUCUUGAAAAUACAUUCUUUAUUUAUUUAAUAUCCAUACAUUCUUACAUAGAUGCACAUUCUUUAUAUCCUUGAUAUAUUUAUUUCUUACAUAUUCUUACAUUUGUUUUAUAUUCUUAAUAUAGUUACACAUUCUUUACACUAACAUAUAUAUAUACACUCUUUGUACUAACAGAUAUACUUUUAUACUUACGAGGUACAUUCUCUUUAUUCUCUUUUACAUAUUUUUUUACUAUACAUUCUUUAUGAAUACUUGAUACUUGAUAUAAAUACAUUUUUAUACACUGUAUAUACUUAGUAUAUUAUCACUUAGUGUAGCUUUUCAUGAAGCCAUAAUAUUUUGAAAACAGGUAAUAAUAAUGAUAAACAGAUAGAUAAUCCCCCUCUAGUGUUCAGUUAAACUAAGUUUAAGGACUGUCUUCGGAUAGGCUCUGAGGGAUGCUUAAUACCUUCCACUCGGGGUAAAUAAAACCCUUAUCUAGAAUCUCAUAGGUUUCGUGGACUAAAAUGGAGUAGACACACAAAUACAUAUAGGUUUCCUGAUUUUCCUAAAAAAAUAAAGUGGCGACUCUAACCCUUUUAUACUAGUUAGAAGAUCCGUGAAGUUGAAAACUAUCUUGGACCCAAUUCAAAAUAGGGCGUAACACCUGUAACAUUGAUGAUAGCUGAGAAGCAGUUACUCUUGUUUAGCAUUUGAAGAAUCUGUUCAUAUUGUUCUUUAGUAAACACGCAUGCUCCAGGUUGGUUUCAAUUUCCUUGUUGAAUCCUUCCUUGAUCAAACAACCCUUGAUACAUACUAGUGACAUUAGCAUAUAUCAACCCUUCAUUGACCUGGUGACUAGAUGGAUUGUUGUUGUUGCUUACCCCACUUGAAUUUUCAGUAAAAGUAGCAUUAUAUGCAGCAGGACCUCCUAGUCCAUGACUUGUACUAACCUUCCUUUUCUUGUAACUAGGAGGAUAACUCACUAUUUUGUAAUAGUUUUCUUUUGUAUGUCCCUUGAUCUUGCACACUUCACACCAAAGAUUGUAGUCUCUUUUAUUCUUUUGACCAGAGUAAUUACCAGCUCUAGAAUACAAUGCUGAGGGAUCAAAGUGGUUCAAGUUCUGAGUUCCAAUUUUGUGAUACAAGUUUGACUGAUCAUAUUGUCCUAUUGAGUUCAUAGUAUUAGAUGGCCCCGCCCCUAGUAAACUAGUAGACACAACACUUCUGGCCUUUUGACUUUCAUCAUUGAUUAUCAUGGCAUAAGCCUGAUUAACUGAUGGUAAAGGACUCAUUAGCAAGAUUUGGCUUCUAGGUUGGGUGUAAGAAUCAUUCAGUCCCAGUAAGAAUUGAUAGAGCUUCAAUCUUUGUAUGUAAAUCACAAAGUCUCUAGACUUUUCACAAUUACAGCCAGGAGAAGGAAUAAGAGCCUCAAAUUCAUUCCACAAACUUUUAAGUCUGUUAAAGUACACAGAUGCAUAAGGUGUUCCUUGAGUUAGUGUUGCUAUAUCCUUAUGGAUACUAAAUGUUCUUGAGCCAUUAAUUUCAUCAAAUCUUUCUUUUAAUUCAUCCCAAACUUCCCAAGCAUUUACAGCAUACAUCGCUCCACUAAUCAGAUUACUAGCAAAAAUAUUCAUGAUUCAAGAUAACACAAUAGCUUUAACUCUAUCCUCUUGAUGCCAAAGUUCUUCUCUGAAACUUUCUUUCUUACAGGAACUAUCUACCAGACCAAACUUAUUCCUACCCAGUAGUGCUAAUCUCACAGAUCUAAUCCAUAGAACAUAAUUCUCACUGCCUGUUAACUGAAAAGAAAUCAAUGAAAUUCCACUUACAUCUGAUGAAAAUAAAGGGUGAUUAUGAUCAAUAGUCUGAUUUGAUCCAAGAACUGUUUGAUUGCCAGAUGCAUUUUCAUUUGUGGUAUGAUUGUUAUUGUAACGACCCUUCCGGUCGUUAUGGAAAUUUAGGACUCAAUUGGAAAUUUCGAGGCCGCGGGUGGAUUCAUAGGGUGUCUUUUUAUAUGUAUGCAUGUUUUGUAUUGUGUUUUAAGGCCUUAGAUGAAAUGUGGGGUGAUAGGGGAAAAACUUGAUAGAAAAAUUUGUAAUAGUUAGACUUCCGUACUUGUUUUAGUAUUUCAUGGCAUGACUUAACCAGUUUACUUGAUGCGUGAAUGAGUAGAAUCAUUUGACUUGUUUAAUACAAAAUUAGACCUGAAUGAAUAGAGAUCUUGUGUGUUGGUUCGCCCACUAGAAUUUAGUUGGGUGCCAGUCAUAGCGGGUUGGGUCGUGACAGUUAUUGGCUUCUACUGGAACUCCAUCACUUGCCAUUCACUCAAGAUUUUCACUUCCUUUUUUUUUUUUUUUUUUUUUUUUUUUUUCUUUUUUCAGGUAUAAGAACCCUUUUGUUCUUGGUUCUUGAAAGAACUUCAACUGGUUUCGGAAUUUACCAGUGCAUAGAAUGUGAAAGAAACUUAGAGAAAUCUGAAUCGAAGAACAAUCAGUUCCCCUGCUCUGAUACCAUGAAGAUAAUCAGAACUACAUGUAUGAGUUUUGUGUAGAAACUAGAAAUGAGAGAAGAAGGCGAUCGAGAAGAAGUAGAAUAGAUUAGUGAGGAAGAAAAGAAUUAGAUGACUUUCAUUGAUUAUGAAAAUUGAAUGAUAAAACUUGUAACUUACAAUGAUAUAUAUAUAUAUAUAUAUAUAUAUAUAUCAGUAGAAAUAGAAGACUAACUACUUCAAUAACUACACUUCACAAAUACAGUUAUAACUAACUAAUCCUAACUCAGUAACUAACUCAUCCAGUUGUAUUAACUAACUAAUCCAGUCAUAUCAACUUGCUUCAACAGAAUCAUGUAUCAAUAUUAAUGUGCUAAAGAGCUUUGUAUGU